UACAGGCCCUUUCGAAGCUCAUCUUGGUCAACUAUAUCAUGAAUGAGUCAAAGAGGAGCCAACAUGAAAUUGUUCUUUUAAGGUCGCUGAUUGGUUCGUUUGCUACACCUUUCAGCAUUACCCAAAGAACUAACACUG